rnacentral:rRNA from 1 species
UGUAGUCAUAUGCUUGUCUCAAAGAUUAAGCCAUGCAUGUCUAAGUAUAAGCAAUCUAUACAGUGAAACUGCGAAUGGCUCAUUAAAUCAGUUAUCGUUUAUUUGAUGAUACCUUACUACUUGGAUAACCGUGGUAAUUCUAGAGCUAAUACAUGCAUAAAAGUCCCGACCUCUGGAAGGGAUGUAUUUAUUAGAUAAAAAACCAAUGUCUUCGGACUCCUUGGUGAUUCAUAGUAACUUAACGAAUCGCAUAGCCUUGUGCUGGCGAUGGUUCAUUCAAAUUUCUGCCCUAUCAACUUUCGAUGGUAGGAUAUAGGCCUACCAUGGUUUCAACGGGUAACGGGGAAUUAGGGUUCUAUUCCGGAGAGGGAGCCUGAGAAACGGCUACCACAUCCAAGGAAGGCAGCAGGCGCGCAAAUUACCCAAUCCCGACACGGGGAGGUAGUGACAAUAAAUACUGAUACAGGGGGCUUCUGCCUCUUGUAAUUGGAAUGAGUACAAUUUAAAUCUCUUAACGAGGAACAAUUGGAGGGCAAGUCUGGUGCCAGCAGCCGCGGUAAUUCCAGCUCCAAUAGCGUAUAUUAAAGUUGUUGCAGUUAAAAAGCUCGUAGUUGAACCUUGGGCCUGGCCGGCCGGUCUGCCUCACCGCAUGCACUGGUUUGGCCGGGCCUUUCCUUCUGGCUAACCGCAUGCCCUUUACUGGGUGUGUUGGGGAACCAGGACUUUUACUUUGAAAAAAUUAGAGUGUUCAAAGCAGGCAUUAGCUCGAAUACAUUAGCAUGGAAUAAUAGAAUAGGACGUGUGGUUCUAUUUUGUUGGUUUCUAGGACCACCGUAAUGAUUAAUAGGGAUAGUCGGGGGGCAUCAGUAUUCAAUCGUCAGAGGUGAAAUUCUUGGAUCGAUUGA